CCAACUGCCCACUGGCCCUGGCACUGCAUCUCCACCCUGUCCCACAGCCCUGGGGCUCGUCACAGCCUGACCACCCCACCCAAACAUUAGUGGUGCACACUGGGCGCUGUUCAUGCUCCAGAACUGCUGUUCAGGAACAUUACAGUGGCUCCAGGCCCAGUUCCACUGAAGUCAAUUAGAAGCUUCCAAAUCAAUCCUUCCUUCCCCUCCUGGUGUUUGUGUGGGAAAUGGAAUUGGUGGGUGGAACUGAAAGGGAUGUGACCCUGGUCUAAAAUCGUCUCUAUCAUUUCGGGCCCAAUUUUCAGAGGUCCUGAACACAAGUCUGCUGAAAGUAAACGAAGGCUUUGGUGGUCAAUCGCUCUGAAACCAACUCCAGAACUGGCAACAGCUCUCGUUUUGUCUCACCCUGGUGUUGUCCAAAAUUAGGUUUCAAGCAGUGUGGAAAGGCAUUUCAAUAUGUUCUUUCUGCAAAUAUUGCAGCAAAGUGAACUGGUGUUUCAGCUGUGUGGUGCCAGCUGGCAGGGCAGAGCCCCUGCAGUGACUGGAGUGCCUGGUGUCAGAGUACUGGUCUCAUGUCAGCUCUGGGGUUUGUGUGACACAGAUCUCUGCCUUCUCUUUCAUGUUGGAAUUGGUUAGGAACCUCUAAAGAUUGC